GUUGUAGGCCUUUUCACCGAGGGAAAGGGUGCAGACACAAACAGAGAGAGAUCACGUUACGUUUCAUGACGGCCAGCAGCAGCGGUUUGUACAACAGUGGCCUCUGGUGGUGAGGUGGAGGCGGUGCAGCAGGAUGAGGAUGGCUUGUUUUUACACUGACUGAGAACCUGCUGCAUCUUCUCCUGGAUUUCGUGCACCCUCUUGGCCCAC